rnacentral:rRNA from 1 species
GGUGGAGCAAAACUCAAAAACUUAGUCUCAGUUCGGAUUGUAGGCUGAAACUCGCCUACAUGAAGCUGGAGUCGCUAGUAAUCGCGAAUCAGCAUGUCGCGGUGAAUACGUUCCCGGGCCUUGUACACACCGCCCGUCACACCAUGAGAGUUGGCAAUACCCAACGUACGUGAUCUAACCCGCAAGGGAGGAAGCGUCCUAAGGUAGGGUCAGCGAUUGGGGUGAAGUCGUAACAAGGUACC